UACAGAGGGGGCAAGCGUUGUUCGGAAUUACUGGGCGUAAAGGGCUCGUAGGUGGCCAACUAAGUCAGACGUGAAAUCCCCCGGCUUAACCUGGGAACUGCGUCUGAUACUGGAAGGCUUGAGGAUGGGAGAGGGAUGUAGAAUUCCAGGUGUAGCGGUGAAAUGCGUAGAUAUCUGGAGGAAUACCGGUGGCGAAGGCGGCAUCCUGGACCAUUACUGACGCUGAGGCGCGAAAGCUAGGGGAGCAAACGGG
rnacentral:rRNA from 1 species